UUUAACCUCAAUCUAUUCUUUCCAUUCCAAAACCCAAAUUCUAAAACCACAAUUCCUUAACUUAUAAUCUCAAUCUCUUAUUUCUAAUACAAAUUCCCAUUAUAUACACAAAAUCAAAUAAUAUAAAUAGUUUUUCAUGAUUAAAUCCAUCAAAUCACAUGCAUUAAGUUACGAGGAAAUAGCAAGGCCCGUGUUUUUAUUUUAUGAGGAAAUAGAAAGGCCCGCGAUUUCCGGUUAC
rnacentral:lncRNA from 1 species